UGUUCACAAUAAUUUCAGUCA
rnacentral:piRNA from 1 species